GGGUUAGUUAGGUAAGUUUGAAGAUGUAUAUUGUAAAAGUGAUACUAGAAUACUAGAGAAUGUAGGUGAUAAGGGAUCAUCUUAUGAAAUUGAUAAAAUAGUCUCAUCAUUCUCUCAAUGUAGACAUCAUAGACAUCUCAUGUGUUACUGUGGGCGCACUCAGUGAGUGGUGUGGAAGAGGUGGAGAUGAACAACUAUGACACGUGCCCCCCGUAGUCUGCUCCUUGUUGUUAGCAAUGGCGACGAGAUGAUGAAGAAACUAUGGAACCUCUUGUGUAUGAGUGAAAGGUCCACGAGUGAUGGUCCUAGGGCUGGUCGUCUCCUCACUGACUUUAGUCCCCACAUUAGGAUGCAGACGCGGUGGCGCUCAUGAUGGUGGGCAAAGCGAGAGAGGGUGAGAGUUGUGGGGAAGUGGAGGUAACAAAAAGAAGGGCAUGUGUCCUUGACUUUGCUAGGGAGUAGUGCUCAGUGAGGGGUAAGUAUUAGCUAAGUGAUAAUAUCAUCAUUAUUCAGUAAGUGGAGUUUAAUUACUAUUAUAUAUACUAAGUAAUAAUAAAAGUUCCAACAACAAAUGGAUGGUGCUGUUAGGGUAGGGUGGGUUGGUUAUCCUACGAUGCAUGUGUUGUUUGGGUGGUGUACUCCUAUUACUAGUCAUUCUAACGAUAAAAGAUUUAUUUUUUAAACUCUCUCAACUGUUGUUAGCACUUUUGUAAUUUUUGAAACCAUGCCAAUUAUCCUCUUGACCUAUUGUAAGGUGUUUUACUCAUGAUGUGUCGUACAUGAUAUAUCAAUUUUGACACAUAUAUGUAUUGAUGUGGAAAUGACAUGGCAAAUCACUCAAAAAAUUAAAAAAACUUAAGGCCUACCUAUCAUUUGCACAUUAUAUCCUCCUUCCUCGAUAAGCCUCAACACAAGAUCACAUCUCCUCCUGUAUGUCACUCAUGCUAUUAGUGCCUUAGCUCGCCACAACAUGUUAGGUGAUGUUGGUGUACCACCCC
rnacentral:lncRNA from 1 species